UACGUAGGGUGCAAGCGUUUAAUCGGAAUUACUGGGCGUAAAGUGUGCGCAGGCGGCAGAGCAAGUCGAGUGUGAAAGCCCCGAGCUUAACUUGGGAAUUGCGCUCGAAACUACUUUGCUGGAGUGUGGCAGAGGAAGGUGGAAUUCCAGGUGUAGCGGUGAAAUGCGUAGAUAUCGUGAGGAAGACCAGUGGCGAAGGCGGGGUCUCUGGACAGUUCCUGACACUGAGGCACGAAGGCCAGGGGGAGCAAAACGGG
rnacentral:rRNA from 1 species